GGACAGAUCCUGACGCUGAGGCACGAAGUCUGGGGGAGCGAACAGGAUUAGAUACCCUGGUAGUCCCAGCAGUAAACGAUGUGAGCUUGAUGUGGGGGGAUUCGACCCCUUCCGUGUCGAAGCUUAACGCGAUAAGCUCACCGCCUGAGGAGUACGGCCGCAAGGCUUAAAACUCAAAGAAAUUGACGGGGACCCGCACAAGCGGUGGAGUAUGUGGCUUAAUUCGAUGCAACGCGAAGAACCUUACCUGGCCUUGACAUGCAUUGUGUCGUCGGUGAAAGCCGGCUAGUCCUGGAAACAGGACGCUUUGCACAGGUGCUGCAUGGCUGUCGUCAGCUCGUGUCGUGAGAUGUUGGGUUAAGUCCCGCAACGAGCGCAACCAUUGUGGUCAGUUACUAACCGGCUUAGCCGGAGGACUCUGGCCAGACUGCCCUGUCAAACGGGGAGGAAGGUGGGGACGACGUCAAGUCAGUAUGGCCCUUAUGGCCAGGGCUGCACACGUACUACAAUGCCCGGUACAAUGUGAACCGAAACCGCGAGGUGGAGGAAAUCGCUCUUGAAAACCGGGCCCAGUUCGGAUUGGAGUCUGCAACUCGACUCCAUGAAGUCGGAAUCGCUAGUAAUGGCGUAUCAGCAACGACGCCGUGAAUACGUUCCCGGGUCUGUACACACCGCCCGUCACAUCAUGGAAGUCUCCUGUACCCGAAGCACGUGCGCCAACAUUUCAGGAGGCAGCGUUCGAAGGUAUGG
rnacentral:rRNA from 1 species